CUUCCCUCCGUCGGCGCGCACAC
rnacentral:miRNA from 1 species